ACUCCUGCGGGAGGCAGCAGUGAGGAAUAUUGGACAAUGGGUGGAAGCCUGAUCCAGCCAUCCCGCGUGCAGGAAGACGGCCCUAUGGGUUGUAAACUGCUUUUAUCUGGGGAUAAACCUACUUACGUGUAAGUAGCUGAAGGUACCAGAAGAAUAAGCACCGGCUAACUCCGUGCCAGCAGCCGCGGUAAUACGGAGGGUGCAAGCGUUAUCCGGAUUUAUUGGGUUUAAAGGGUCCGUAGGCGGACUGAUAAGUCAGUGGUGAAAUCCGACAGCUUAACUGUCGAACUGCCAUUGAUACUGUUAGUCUUGAGUAAGGUUGAAGUGGCUGGAAUAAGUAGUGUAGCGGUGAAAUGCAUAGAUAUUACUUAGAACACCAAUUGCGAAGGCAGGUCACUAAGUCUUAACUGACGCUGAUGGACGAAAGCGUGGGGAGCGAACAGGAUUAGAAACCCUUGUAGUCCCA
rnacentral:rRNA from 1 species